AGAAGGUAAGACUGUGACGCAUAUGCUUGACUCAAGAUUGAGCAAUGCAAGUGUAAGUACAUGCAGCCGGUACAUGACAAAAUAUCUUUUACUUGGAUGGCUGUGGUAAUUCUACAGCGAAAACAUGCCACCAAAAGCGGACCUCCCGGAAUACAUGAACAAUUCGGGCUCGCCAAGACAGUUUGGUGACUGCAGCUAAGCUUCGGCAGAUUGCAGGGUCCUGUAACUGUACGAUACAUUCAGAUGUCUGCCCUAUCAACUUCCAAUUUUACUGCAUGUGCAUACCAUGGUAAAAACGGAUAACAGGGAAUCAUGCUUCAAUUCCUUAGACAGAGCCUGAGAAAUGGUUGCAAUAUUCAAGGCAGCAGGCAUGCAAAUUACCCACUCCCGACUCAGGGAGCUAGUGACAGAAAAUAAUAAUACCAGACACUUUUGAGGUCCUGUUAUUGGAACAAGUGCACUUGGAAUCAUUUAAUGAGGAUUAAUUAAAGGACACAUCUGGUGCCGCAGCAGCACGUGAGCUAAUGGCUGUCCAUGCCCCUGCCUCUCGUCGACCCCUUGAUGCUCUUGACUGAGUGUCCUGGGGUCCAAAGCAUUUACUUUGAAAACAUUAGAGUGUUUAAAUCACACUGGUCGCCUGAAUACUUUAUUUAGGAAUGAUAGAUUAGGACUCCAGUUCUAUUUUGUUGCUUUUCGGAACGUGGGCCAUGAUUAAGGGGUAAAGAAUGGGGCAGUCAUAUUGUGACUAUAGAAGUGAAAUUCAACCAAUAACUGUCCCAAAUACCGAUCUAGCAGUGUUAUUCCCAUGACCCGCCAAGCAGCUGCCGAAAACCUAAGUCUGGAGGUUCUGGGUGGAGUAUGGUUGCAAAGCUGAAACUUUAAGGAAAUGAUGGAAGGGCACCACCAGAAGUGGAGCCUGUGGCUUAAUUUGACUCAACACGGGAAACUUCACCCGGCUAGCGCACAAAACAGAAUGACAGAUUCAAGGGUCUUUUGCAAUUCUGUGGGUGGUGAUGAUUGGCUGUUCUAAGUUGGUGGAUCAAUUUUCCGGUUUAUUCUGAUAACAAAUGCAAAUCCAUCAUGCUAGCUAAUUAUGCGACCCCAGUGGUUCACGUUCAACUUCUUAGAGGGACAAGUGACAUUCAGCCACACGAGAUUGAGCGAUAACAGCUCUAUGAUGCCCUUUGAUAACUGAGGCUGCAUGUGUGCUACAAUGAAUGGAUCAGUGUGUGCCUGCCCUUCACAGACAGGUGCGGGUAACACUCUGAACUCUAUUUGUGAUAGGGAUUGGGGAUUGCAAUUAUUUCCAUUGAACAAGAAAUCCCUAGUAAGUUCAAGUCAUAAGCUCACAUUGAUUGAGUCCCUGCACUUUGUACACACUGCCAUCACUACUACCGAUUGGAUGUUUUAGUGAGAUCCUCAGAUGCCCCAACGGGGUUGGCAACGGCCCAUAGCAGACCACUGAGAGGGUAAUCAAACUUGACUCUCUAGAGGAACUAAAAGACCUGACAAGGUUUCCUUGGAGCUCGGCCCUGUG
rnacentral:rRNA from 1 species